UAAUAAGUGUUCUACUGCACUUUUUAAAAAUAGUACUCACCUUGUGUGCAAUGUUGUGUGAGCUUGUCUAGUACAAGUUCGCACCUACACCAACCUAUAAUUUUGAACCACUUUGUCUGAAAAACUAUUAUGAAUACUUAAUUCAAAAUA
rnacentral:misc_RNA from 1 species